rnacentral:rRNA from 1 species
GACGAACGCUGGCGGCGUGCUUAACACAUGCAAGUCGAACGGAAAGGCCCUGCUUUUGUGGGGUGCUCGAGUGGCGAACGGGUGAGUAACACGUGAGUAACCUGCCCUUGACUUUGGGAUAACUUCAGGAAACUGGGGCUAAUACCGGAUAGGAGCUCCUGCUGCAUGGUGGGGGUUGGAAAGUUUCGGCGGUUGGGGAUGGACUCGCGGCUUAUCAGCUUGUUGGUGGGGUAGUGGCUUACCAAGGCUUUGACGGGUAGCCGGCCUGAGAGGGUGACCGGCCACAUUGGGACUGAGAUACGGCCCAGACUCCUACGGGAGGCAACAGUGGGGAAUAUUGCACAAUGGGCGGAAGCCUGAUGCAGCAACGCCGCGUGCGGGAUGACGGCCUUCGGGUUGUAAACCGCUUUGGCCUGUGACGAAGCGUGAGUGACGGUAAUGGGUAAAGAAGCACCGGCUAACUACGU